ACCAUUUUAAGAAAAUAGGGCGGGCAUAAUUUACCUCCAAAAACUAGCUCAAAAUGAUGAAUGUUAAAACUUUUUUACAUUACCCCUGGUUUAAAUCAAUGUAUAUACAUGUAUAUAUAUUUGUUCGACACCAUUUUCACCAGAUACGAACACAUGCAAUAAAAUCUCACCGGAAAAUCGUAAUUUUUCCAGCAAGCUAUUCAGGACACGGGAGACACGUAUAUUUAUUUGCCAGGGAACACAAAUCGUAACCGAUCUCUUUGCUGAGUCAGAAUCCGAUCCUUUGGAGAUGAUGUCUUCCCACCUAUUCCUGCCUGGCGCAUCAUCUCUCGUUUUCUUUCAAGCUCUUCAUCGAGCUCUUCUUUCCAUUUUCUUUGCCUCUCAGAAAAUCUUGCACUGGAAAUUAAAUUAAUUUCAUUUUCAGGAAGAGAAUGAGGAAAGACAUGAUUCCUCAGCAAAUGUAAACUAAAAGCAACAUCAAGUAAGAGCAAGCAAACCUAGGAGUAAUUGUUUCCUGCUGGGAAUCAAGAAGGAGAUCUUUCCACUCAUUAACUUGAGGCUGCUGAAUCUCCUGCUGAAUCUCCUGCAAUGCUCGUUUAUGAAUGCUACUCCCAACUGAUACUUUAUUGUUGGCACGACCAGGACUAGCUGAGUUGGUGGCAUCAACUGCAGAGAGUCUUCUUCUUGGUAACUGUCUAGGCGACUUGCUUUUAGGAGUUAAGUUGGGUAAAUUUGCAAUAUUUUCAUUAUUUGCAGUUCCAACAGUGCUUGGAAGACCCACUGCAUUCAACGUAUUGUAGAACUCUUCGUAUAGAGGUGUUUGCAGCUUCUUCAAAUCUAAAGCCUAGUGAAUUUUUACAGAACAAGCAUUAACAUUUCUAUCACACUACUUGUCGCAAUGUGUUUUGCGGUCGCCUAGAUGAACACUCACCGAAGUGGGAAAAGUGAGGAGUCGCCACUUUAAUUUUGAGGGAAAUUAAAGAAAACCAUUUGCGAAAAUAAAUUAAAAUGAAACCACUUCAAAAACAGAGAUUCUAGGUUCGGGGUCCGUAAACGGGUGGGGAAGGUGUUAGGCACCCCACCUCGUCCCUUAAUAAGGGUAAGUAGAUUUAAUUCUGCGUCCUUUACAAAUUAGUUAGGAGGGCUUAGGCGGCAAUGUUAAUCCUUUUGGUAGAAGGAAUAUUUGAUUUUUCACUAAUCCGGAUUACCUAGAUACAUAAGUAAAUGAGAUAACCUUAGUGAGUUGCUAUUACGUAUUUGUUUUAUUUUAGGGGGAUCAUCUUAUGUAUUUGUUAAAAUUUAAUUUGGAAAUUGGAUAAGAACUCUCCUCCCAUCUCUUUAAAAUAUUUGUUAAAAUUUUUAAGUGAGAAUCGGAUAAGAACUCUCC
rnacentral:misc_RNA from 1 species